AAAUUUUUGGAAUUUCCUAUUUCACGCAAUUAAAAUCUAUUAUCCAUGCAUUUCCCCCUCUCACUGCCAAAAAUGUUCAAAUCCCUUGUCGUGGAAAACUCCUCCAGCUGCUAACAUCUAUUUGAAACGCUAAAAAACCCUUGCCUUCCAAUUUUCCCCCACCCGUCGCCAUCGAAACAAUUUUCUAGCCACCGCCAUCCAAACACCACAACAAGGCAACGCCAUCGAACCGAGAAAUCUAGCCACUAUCGUCGAAUUUUGCAACGCCUUCGAAUAAAGAAAUCUAGCCACUACGGUCAAAUUUUGGGUCGCAACGCCGUCUAAAUCAAGUUCACAUCAUCUUCGUUCGUUGUCUUCCGCCAUCCGAUGCUUCUUCUUGGUCAUUCCUUCAUUCGAUUCGUUCUCUAUUCAUUCCUAUAAUGCUUCUUAUUGCUCCGAAAGCUCCUUCUCCAGUUCUGCUCGUGGUGAAGGAUCCUCCGUCCGAUGACAUCUACUCCGUCCGGUGGUUAUUGCUGUAAAUUUUCAUUUAGCUUGAAGUCAAGACAUUUUAAUCUUCCUAACUCCCAUAAGUCAUCUAAGAAGCUUUUUUUUUUUUUUGUGCUAUUUUUGUGGGCUUUGGAGUGGAAGAAAUAAUAAAAUUCUUAGAGCAAUUGGAAAAUUUGUUAGGGAGUUGAUGGGUUCUUUAAAUUUUAAAAACUCAUCAUUUUAACACAUCCAAAUUCAUUUGAAAUCAUCUAACCAAAGGUAAAAACAAUAAGAUUAACCAAAUGGAGCAAGUAGUUUGAGGCCUCCGGAUGGUUGGUGACACUUCAUUGUACUUUAACUAUGAAUAAUGUUUCAAAUUUUACAUCAUACGUAGACGCUUCCUCCUUGCCCUCUCUUC